AAUUAUAACCAGAAGCAGCACCGUCGUUUGUCAAAUCAGGUGAAGCAGUUUCCCUUCUUUUCAGGAGUAAAAAUUGAACAAGUUAAGCGAUGAAAACAGCUUUGAGGAUUUCUUUAUAACUUUAGAAAGCAUAUCAUGUGCCUGGCUAAAACCUUAUUUAUUCCACUCUUGACUGGUAAAUUGAAUUGAAUUAAAGCCAGAAGUACUUAUUGUCAGGGUUCUCUGUUUGGCCGGUGCUCUAACUCUGCUCCACAGGUGGUUCUAGUUUGCUGGGGGGCGUGGCCCACAUCUGCGGCUCGUUGGGAGCGCUGUUCACUGGUGUCUUAAGGAAGGCACAGACAGAUGGAAGUCGUGGUACGACGUGGCCUCUGACCUGAUCCUGCAAACCUGAACUUGUGAGUUUUUUUGUAACUUUGGAACCUGACAUAUUUGGAUCUCCUGCCUUUCUUGUAGUUUUGUGUUUGGAUUACUCACCCGUCUUGACAUCUCGCUCGACAAACCAGCUUCCAAGAAUCCCCAAAGCUCAGAUGUUGUUCUGGCAUUCCCCCUCGUACUCUCUGGAUGUUACCCAGCUGGGCUCGAGGUUUCACUUCCCUGGAUUCUGCUGGUUCCCUCUGAUCUCUGGUCAAACUGUCUGUCUCCCCUGUCUGUCGUGGCUCGCUCCGGAUCCCUCGCCGUCUUGCCAUCAGUCCGCCCUCCAGCUGCUAACCACCAGCCAUCCUUGUGAACACUCGGCCUCAGAGUUUCCCUCACCUUCCCCUCCCCGGUUAGGUUCACUCAACUAAACGUUCCUCCGGCAUUGACGUUCAGACCUCGACGGAUCUCCACACCCGUGAGAUCCAUGUACCUGAACCCUUUAAUAAACACUUUUAAACUGCACUCUGUCUUCUGUAUUGUGUCUGCAUGUGGGCAAGACAUAUAAAAACCAUGACACUUAUGUGCAUAUGGAUGUGGAUGAAUCAAUGUAUUAUGAUCAUGUUUAGAAUAAAUGCUGUGAUUUUCA